GAUAUCACAACCAGCCCUUGAUUCAAUGAAAUCAGAGGUGCAUCACCAAAUCAUUGCACGUGGGAGGAGAACAGUUGUUCACAGCAUGAACAUACUGGGGCGGACACUCAUGGCGGCUCUUGGAAUGAAUGCAGCCAUAAGUGUGAGGGUGUCAAAUGAACUCGGAGCAGCUCAUCCAAGAACGGCAAAGUUCUCGCUCAUAGUGGCAGUGAUCUCCUCGUUCAUGGUUGGUCUGGUCUUGUCGG